rnacentral:tRNA from 1 species
GGGUCAGUAGUUUAACGGUAAAACGCUGGACUCCAAAUCCAGAGAUGGGGGUUCAAUUCCUCCCUGACCUGCCA